rnacentral:rRNA from 1 species
UAAGCAAGAUGUGAAAUCGUACGGCUCAACCGUAUACACAUAUUUUGAACUGACAAGCUAGAGUAUAUGAGAGGUCACUGGAAUUUCUAGUGUAGGAGUGAAAUCCGUAGAUAUUAGAAGGAACACCGAUGGCGUAGGCAGGUGACUGGCAUAUUACUGACGCUAAGGCACGAAAGCGUGGGGAGCGAACCGGAUUAGAUACCCGGGUAGUCCACGCCGUAAACUAUGGAUGCUA